UAUAUAUAUAUAUAUAUAGUGGCAGUAGUAGUGGCUAGUACUGAUGGAGAGAUGAGACCUGGGUUCUAUCAGGUGGUCUAUAUAUAAAUAUAGUGGCAGUAGUAGUGGCUAGUAGUGAUAGGGAGAUGAGACCUGGGUUCUAUCAGGUGGCCUAUAUAUAUAUAUAUAUAUAGUGGCAGUAGUAGUGGCUAGUAGUGAUGGAGAGAUGAGACCUGGGUUCUAUCAGGUGGCCUAUAUAUAUAUAUAUAUAGUGGCAGUAGUAGUGGCUAGUAGUGAUAGAGAGAUGAGACCUGGGUUCUAUCAGGUGGCCCAUAUAUAUAUAUAUAGUGGCUAGUAGUGAUAGAGAGAUGAGACCUGGGUUCUAUCAGGUAGUCUAUAUAUAUAUAUAUAGUGGCAGUAGUAGUGGCUAGUAGUGAUAGGGAGAUGAGACCUGGGUUCUAUCAGGUGGCCCAUAUAUAUAUAUAGUGGCUAGUAGUGAUAGAGAGAUGAGACCUGGGUUCUAUCAGGUGGUCUAUAUAUAUAUAUAUAGUGGCAGUAGUAGUGGCUAGUAGUGAUAGGGAGAUGAGACCUGGGUUCUAUCAGGUGGCCCAUAUAUAUAUAUAUAUAUAUAUAUAUAUUUAUAUAUAUAUAGUGGCAGUAGUAGAUGGGGGGAGGGGGGUGUAUAUGGAAGUACGUUGGCCUACAGGACACUGUGUGUGUAUUAGAGCUCCCAGGCAGGAUUGUAGUGAGGCACAGAUCUGGGAAAGGGUACCAAAAUAAUUAUGCAGCAUUGAAGGUCCCCAAGAACACAGUGGCCUCCAUCAUUCUGAAACGGAAGUCGUUUGGAACCUCCAAGACUCUUCCUGAAGCUGGCCGCCCUGUGAAACUGAGCAAUUAGUGGAGAAGGGCCUUGGCCAGGGAGGUGACCAAGAACCCAAUGGGAGAUUGGAGAACCUUCCAGAAGGACAACCAUCUCUGCAGCACUCCACCAAUCAGGCCUUUAUGGUAGAGUGGCCAGAUGGAUGCCAGUCCUCCGUAAAAGACACAUGACAGUCCGCUUGGAGUUUUCCAAAAGGCACCUAAAGGACUCUCAGACCAUGAGAAACAAGAUUCUCUGGUCUUUUGAAACCAAGAUUUAACUGGUUUGCUAAGCAAACUGAAUGCUAAGCAUCACAUCUGAAGGUAACCUGGCAUCAUCCCUACGAUGAAGUAUGGUGGUGGCAGCAUCAUGCUGUGAGGAUGUUUUUCAGCAGCAGGGACUGGGAGACUAAUCUGGAUUAAGGGUAAGAUGAACAGAGCAAAGUACAGAGAUCCUUGAUGAAAACCUGCUCCAGAGCGCUCAGGACUUCAGACUUGUGAUUAAGGUUGACCUUCCAAAAGGACAACGACCCUAAGCACACAGCCAAGACAACGCAGGAGUGGCUUCUGGACAAGUCUUUGAAUGCCUUUGAGUGGCCAAUCCACAGCCCAGACUUGAACCUGAUCAAACAUCUCUGGAGAACUGAAAAUAGCUGUGCAGCGACGCUCCCCAUCCAACCUGACAGAGCUUGAGAGGAUCUGCAGAGAAGAAUGGGAGAACCUCCCCAAAUACAGGUGUGCCAAGCUUGUAGCGUCAAACCCAAUAAGAAUCAAGGCUGUAAUCGCUGCCAAAAGGUGCUUCAACAAAGUACUGAGUAAAGGGUCUGAAUACUUAUGUAAAUGUGAUAUUUAAGUUUAAAUAUACAAUUGCACACAUAAAAUAAACUGUUUUUGAGUGAGCAGAGAGAGUGAGCAGAGAGAGAGAGAGAAGAGAGCAGAGAGAGGCUGAGUGUGUGUCUAGAAUCUCCCUCUCUGAUGAUGACAUCACAGGGUUCCUCUCCUAGAAGACCUAGAAUCUCUGAAUCAGGGCUGUGUUUCAUUCUUAUCAAAAGUCCCGUUAACUCUCUCUCAAAAACACAAAUGUAUAAUUGC
ensembl:lncRNA